CCAGAGCCCUCUAGCCCAGCACCAGCACGUGGUGCCUAGCGCUACUUCCCCUGCAGAGUGCCCGCAUCCCCUAAAAUCUCACGGGUGCCACAGCGAGCUUGGGGACGAGUCCAAGGACCUCCCGAAAGCAACAUGCUGUAUUCGUGCUUGAGGAGCUUGUCACAAAAUACCUGAGGCUUGAUUGGAAAGGUGCGUUGGCCAAGUCGUUCUGGGAGCACAUCCACUGGGACAGCAGGGGACAGAUGGGAGAAGGAGGUGAACCUGGAAACCAUGGAGAUGGAUCGGUCUGAUCGCAAAGGAAAGCAGAGAUGCUUGCAGAAAUGGCUGGCCCAGGGACACGGCAGGUGAGCGAGUCUGGAACAUCAUGCCAAAGAGCAAGGAGGUUAUCAAAGGCCAGAGGGAAACGCAGACUCAUCGGAAACCCAGGAAGUCACCCCUGGAUGGUGUGAUGGCAUUUUCACAGCGUGAGAGAGUUUGCCUUUUCAAGAGCAGUUUUUAGAAAAUGUAAGCCACGUGGAUGCAAAUUUUCCUAAGAUGUGACAGAAAUGUUCCUGUCUUUCUCAAGUGAAUGUACUGGACAUACUGAAUGACUUUCUGCAUGUUUUAGCAAGGUCAUUCCCUUUGUGGUCUUGGGUCUCGGUUUCCCUUCAGAGAUGUGAGCGAUUUAAUCCCUAAGGCAUUUACAAAUCUAGGAUGCAGAAAUUCUCCGGUUUCCCCUCACGUGACUAAUGAUCGACACAGCCUGGAAGCUUUCAGAAAAGAAGACAGAUUUCUGAACCCGACAAUAACCUACUGAAUUUGGGUCUCUGGGUUUGCAUGACGUUCCCAGGUGUUGUUGGUGUGCAGGGACUUUGGGAGGCGGGGGUUCGGAAUACCAUUCAUUCUGCAGCGGACCACCUGACCACUAAAUCCUGAACGCAUUUUGAUUCUAAACGGUUGGAUGAACAUAAACAAAGCCAGGGAUAAAUCUGUUAAACUGAGACAAUAUGCCAUUCUUUCUCUGCAUGGAUGGAAGGGGCUCUGUCUGUAGGAGGCGCCUGCAGCCCUCUGUUGGUUCCUUUCAUUGUCAUGAUCCCUGAACAAAGCUGAUGAGAGAUUU